CCCAGAGGCAGCAUACUUCAUAGAGGGGAAGUCGUUCCUCAUGAUGGUCAGUUUUCCAGCACACCAAUAUUAGUCAGUAAUGGAAAGACCUGACUUUAGAAAAUCUGUAGGCUGUGGGAAUCAGGUGGGAAGAGCUGUGAGACAUGUCUACUUGGAGGAGCAUUUACUGUAAACUCAGAAUGUGCCACAAGAUGUUUGUCUGGCAAACGUAUUAGAGUUCUGGUACAGGGCAAAUGGAAGGAAGAUGAGGAUUGCUGCAAGGAGAAUAUGUGGGUUCAGAGUGACUUCUGGGCCUUUUAGAGGUACUGAUCAGAAGGCAAAUGCAAGAUGAACACUGUGGCAAAAGACCAGACUGUAGUCUAUGCUGUGCUCUUUAUGUAUUUUCCAGCUGGUUUUGCUUCUAACCUUCAGUAUUUCUUAUGGGACACUGGUGCAAAUCUGCAUUCAGGUUGCUGAAACUGAAGUCUGACUCAAUUGCGUAUUUGACAUGGCACCCACUAAUCUUCUGAAAUAACCUGGUUUUCCUCAAUUUUUUCACCAAUGGGAAAGAAGAUCUGGUGCAGAAUCAAAACAACUGAAGUCCUUUUGCCAUUUGUAUGCACAUCCUGUAGUGAGGUUUAGAAAAUGAAGCCACUGCAGAACCUCAUCAUUGAGGAACUCCUUUGCAGAGGGUUCUCCUUUGUGGCUUUGCUCUUGAGGAAGGUGUACUUGUGGUGACCCAGAAGAGGGCUUUCAUUUUUCAAGAGGGAGGCUGGCAAAGAUCUCAGUCCACAUAUCAAGUCCCUUGUCAUAG
rnacentral:lncRNA from 14 species